GACGAACGCUGGCGGCGUGCUUAACACAUGCAAGUCGAACGGAAAGGCCCUGCUUUUGUGGGGUGCUCGAGUGGCGAACGGGUGAGUAACACGUGAGUAACCUUCCCUUUACUUUGGGAUAACUUCAGGAAACUGGGGCUAAUACCGGAUAGGAGCUCCUGCUGCAUGGUGGGGGUUGGAAAGUUUCGGCGGUUGGGGAUGGACUCGCGGCUUAUCAGCUUGUUGGUGGGGUAGUGGCUUACCCAGGCUUUGACGGGUAGCCGGCCUGAGAGGGUGACCGGCCACAUUGGGACUGAGAUACGGCCCAGACUCCUACGGGAGGCAGCAGUGGGGAAUAUUGCACAAUGGGCGGAAGCCUGAUGCAGCAACGCCGCGUGCGGGAUGACGGCCUUCGGGUUGUAAACCGCUUUCGCCUGUGACGAAGCGUGAGUGACGGUAAUGGGUAAAGAAGCACCGGCUAACUACGUG
rnacentral:rRNA from 1 species